rnacentral:lncRNA from 1 species
UUUCACCCCUACGUUUUAAGAAUAAAACUUCAUGCUCUAUUCCCUCACCUAUACUAGGCGUUCUGCCUCUUAAAAAUUCUCUCUAUAUUUACUCAUUAUUUUGUUUGCUUUACAUUUAUGACAUUGUUUAAAAACAUGAAGAUAAAAAACGGCCAGACUCUGGUGUAUAAAAAAUUAACGAACACACAUUGAUAAACUUUAUUACGAGUAUUAAUCAAUUGAACAGACGAAUCUCCAUGGCAAAUCUUAUUUAACCAUCAUCAGGAAUGUAAGUUUAUAUUACUCUGUUAAAUUUUACUGCAGAAAAUUACUGAGAUUAGAUCCAAUGAAUAAUCGAGCCGAGUUCAGCACCGGGCUGAUUAUUGAAAUUUAUAGACAAAGCGAUCGACAAAGAAGACCAAUGAAAAAUGGAGCAAGCCAAUUAGUGGAAGCUGGUGGUUGCAAUGGAAAAGAGAAGUAAGUAAUUGAUUAAUUAUCCAACCAAUCAAAGACCCCCAUGGUUAGCUCAUCAUUUUCCCCUUGUCUAUACAAGAACCACACGUUUCAACCAAUAGAAUCACUUUAAUUUCCCUUUGCCUCCUGUGUCUAUCAAUUUUAAUAAUCAGCCUGCAGAAAGAUCUAGGUACACAGGUGAAGAUAAUAUUGUCAAUGGAGAACUUUAAAAAGUGUGUACCUGAUACAGAAGAUCCUCGAAAACAAAAUAUGAUGGAUCAUUUGACGCAGACUGAUCGUAAUUUGACUAACAAUAAGCAGGUUGGUGAUUUUUACGCUCACCUCUAUUAACAUUUUAAUUCAAGCACUAAAUAAGGAAAUUUCACUCACCCUUUUCACCCAACGCAAUACGUUCAGCUUCUAGACUGGAUAAGGAGCUCUCUGAGACGGCAUUUCAUGAUGGACACCAAUUAAAGACUCUCCGCGAGAUAUUCUCCGUAUAAUAUUUUCUGCGCAUAUAUUCAAAGACAGAAUAUCAAUUAAAAUAAUGAAACGAAACUAAAACAAGCGGGAAAGCUCUAAUACGUGGGUAUUAGAGAAGCGC